ensembl:lncRNA
GGGAUUCUCCAGGCAAGAAUACUGGAGUGGGUUGCCAUGUCUUCCUUCAGGGGAUCUUCCUGGCCCAUGGACUGAACCUGUGUCUCUUAUGUCUCCUGCAUUGCCUCUCACUGUCCUGGCAUUUCCUCUACGUUCAUGUCUUGCUAGAACGGUGUGAAUUGACAGAAUAUCUGCGGGGUUUUACGUAGUAUAUGGCUGCCCACAAGAUGUUUACUGAGUACCAUCUAUGUUCCAGGCACUCGACAUGGGAAUACCCAAAGCUGACCAGGAAUUUGUUCUCAAAGUGCUCACAGGGACCUAGACAAAUGCACAGGAACUUAGAAUCCAACCUGAACCAAACCCAGGAAGGCUUCCUGAAAGAGGCAAUCUCAAAAUGAAGACAAAAUCACAUUUAGAAUGGAUGAAUAAUAAGGUCCUAAUAUAUAGCACAGGGAACUAUAUUCAAUAUCCUGUGAUAAACC